rfam:Angiostrongylus cantonensis strain Taiwan genome assembly, scaffold: ACAC_scaffold0001632
GAUUAGGUGGCCGACGGCUUAAGGCGAUGGACUGCCAAUCCAUUGGGGUUUCACCGCGUGAGCUCGAAUCUCAUCCUGAUCG